UACAGAGGUCUCAAGCGUUUGUUCGGAUUCAUUGGGCGUAAAGGGUGUGUAGGUGGCGCCGUAAGUCGGGUGUGAAAUUUCGGAGCUUAACUCCGAAACUGCAUUCGAUACUGCGGUGCUUGAGGACUGGAGAGGAGACUGGAAUUCAUGGUGUAGCAGUGAAAUGCGUAGAGAUCAUGAGGAAGACCAGUGGCGAAGGCGGGUCUCUGGACAUUUCCUGACGCUGAGGCACGAAAGCCAGGGGAGCAAACGGGG
rnacentral:rRNA from 1 species